CCUGCCCCUAGAGGCAUUCCAGGUGUGACUGCUGCGUCACAUGUGCAUUAGUAGGUGGCAGAAAGGAGAGAGGCUGUGUCUACACUUAGUGUUCUGAUCUAUGAACAUAUAAAUUGUUGGCAGCCUGUCAUU